AACGCAUCUUGCGCCUUUUGGUAUUCCAAAAGGCACACUUGUUUGAGUGUCAUGAAUUACUCGAGUCCUCUUUUGUAAUUAAAAUUGGAAUCGGAUUAUGAGUGUUGCUGUGUUACAGCUCACUUGAAAUGUAUUAGUCCCUUUAAUGCAGUCGGAUUGACUUUGGUGUAAUAAGACUUUUCACCGGAGGAUGCUUUUGCAGCCGGCUUUUAAAGGGACUGCUAAAUGUUACAACCCUUUUUAGACCUCAAAUCAAGUGGGACUACCCGCUGAACUUAA
rnacentral:misc_RNA from 1 species